rnacentral:rRNA from 1 species
UACGUAGGGAGCUAGCGUUGUUCGGAAUCACUGGGCGUAAAGGGUGCGUAGGUGGGCAAGUAAGUCAGUGGUGAAAUCUCCGGGCUUAACCCGGAAACUGCCAUUGAUACUAUUUGUCUUGAAUACUGUGGAGGUCAGCGGAAUAUGUCAUGUAGCGGUGAAAUGCUUAGAUAUGACAUAGAACACCAAUUGCGAAGGCAGCUGGCUACACAAAUAUUGACACUGAGGCACGAAAGCGUGGGGAUCAAACAGG